rnacentral:rRNA from 1 species
UAGGGAAUUUUGCGCAAUGGGCGAAAGCCUGACGCAGCAACACCGCGUGUAGGAUGAAGGAUUUCGGUCUGUAAACUACUGUCGGCAGGGAAUAAUAAUGACUGUACCUGCAAAGGAAGCAUCGGCUAACUACGUGCCAGCAGCCGCGGUAAGACGUAGGAUGCAAGCGUUGUCCGGAAUUAUUGGGCGUAAAGAGUUCGUAGGCGGUUACUUAAGUCUGGUGUUAAAUACUGGAGCUCAACUCCAGCAUGGCAUCGGAAACUGGGUGGCUAGAGUGCGGUAGAGGUCACGGGAAUUCCAGGUGUAGCGGUGAAAUGCGUAGAUAUCUGGAGGAACACCGGUGGCGAAAGCGCGUGACUGGGCCGCAACUGACGCUGAGGAACGAAAGCCAGGGGAGCGAAAGGG